rnacentral:rRNA from 1 species
GACGAACGCUGGCGGCGUGCCUAAUACAUGCAAGUAGGACGCACAGUCUAUACCGUAGCUUGCUACACCAUAGGCUGUGAGUUGCGAACGGGUGAGUAACGCGUAGGUAACCUGCCUAUUAGAGGGUGAUAACUAUUGGAAACGAUAGCUAAUACCGCAUAACAGUAUGUAACACAUGUUAGAUGCUUGAAAGAUGCAAUUGCAUCGCUAGUAGAUGGACCUGCGUUGUAUUAGCUAGUAGGUAGGGUAAUGGCCUACCUAGGCGACGAUACAUAGCCGACCUGAGGGGGUGAUCGGCCACACUGGGGCUGAGACACGGCCCAGACUCCUACGGGAGGCAGCAGUAGGGAAUCUUCGGCAAUGGGGGGAACCCUGACCGAGCAACGCCGCGUGAGUGAAGAAGGUUUUCGGAUCGUAAAGCUCUGUUGUUAAGGAAGAACGAGUGUGAGAAUGGAAAGUUCAUACUGUGACGGUACUUAACCAGAAAGGGACGGCUAACUACGUG